AUCCACUUACAAACAUCUCGGGUAUAUAUAAAAGAUUUCUUGCAGCCCGUAAUCGCAUUAGUUGUUGAAACGGAUGGCAAGAAAAAUGUCAAUAGCGGUGGUAAUAACCAUUUGCAUGCUGGUCCUUCAGGUCAAUGCGGAAAUCCUAAAUACAGAAUCGAAGACCAAGCUAGUCAAAAGGCAACUGCUUCCUUACCCCCACUUCACGGUCUUUUUCACCCCAAAACCAAAUGUACCAUCGCGAAGAACGGCAGAAUUUCUUCAUAAAUUGCAAUAGCAUCUGAUGCCUGAAUAUAAAGUACAUGUUAUUUGAUAUUUAUCAAAUACAAUUUUGUUCAUUCUCUGACCGAAAGUUCUUGUAUAUAAGAAACACAAGCACUGUUGAGAGAAAUGUUGGAGGCGAUAAGUUUUGUGUGUUGUAAGGCUUUGUUUUGUGAUCCAUUUUACAAGGAAAAUAAAGUGACAUGCAGUUCGGUUACAUUACUAUUUUAUAUACAUAAACUACACAUAAAUAAAAUAGAAGCAUAGGUA
rnacentral:lncRNA from 1 species